UGCUCUGUACUUAUAUAGUCUCUAAUAAUUUCUCUGUAUAAUUUUUAACAUUCUUUUACUCUAUGCUUCACUGCAGUGUGAUCUCUGAUAUUCUUUUAUCUCAAUUCUUCUUCUAUAAGAAUCCUUUUAUACAAUUUCUUCUUCUAAUCUUUCUUCUCUUUCUUUUUUUAAUUGAUUUAUAAACUGUUAUUAGAAUAGUGUCAAGUCCAUUGAUAGUGCUGUUGGAACAGAUUAUAUGAACUGUGCAGGCAGUAUGAAUGGUUUAAUCCACAACAUCAGUAACUUCUGCUUAAUUGGUGGCACGCCUGUUACAGUUCUCCAAUGUGAUUUGAACCAGAGGUGGAUAAUGUUUCUUCUAUAAAAGCUGUGAGUAAAAGCAAUAAAAAACAGCAUUCUUCAUGCCAGUUCCUCCUUUAAUGGAGGGAAGGGUUCAGAUUCAUUCUUCACAAGUCGUUUUCUAAAUACUUGAAAGGAGAGUUGCCAUCUUUUCUGAGUUGCUUGAUCCACCGCAUGCUCCGAGAUGGAAAUAAAAAUUCACUAUUACAGUCUCUGUGGUACUGCUUAAGCAUCCUGCCAGGGUGGCCUUUCGAUUGCUCCACAUUCGUGAGAGAUCCCUCUGAUCACACUUAGGUUUUAGCUGUCUGGCCACUGGAAACUGCACUAAAAUGUAUUGGGGGUGUUUGCUUGCCGCAGGACUUCUGGAUUGGGUAUUCAGCAAGCACCAGGUCAACGUCGCUAUAGCACUCUAGGCAAUAGGCAUGUAACUUCCCCAGCAGAGUCUCCUUUCGUCUACGCCGUUGUUGGUGGGGGCUGGCGCAUUUAUUCUCUGUGUCGGGCUUAUUAAUAUGGUCCGACGGUCGGUAUGCCAUGAUUGAAUGGAAAGAGAUACAAUAUCGCAAAACCGUCUGUGGAAGGAUUCAGAAGAUAUAUAUAGGCAGAUAAUGCAGAACAUUAGAAGGAAGUGAGACUGUUUGAAGGCGCAUGGUCAUGAUUUUUAAUAACUUGAAAAUGAUGGGUGAGCCAGUAUUUUCUGGGGACUCUGCCUGUCUUUUCCUGCAUUUCUGCAUUUCUGGCUUUCCAGCCUUUUGGAAAUUAAUCCGAUUGUGAGUCUUUCUUUUAGCCUGUAAUCCACUUUUCACCAUCUGCAAAGGUCAGAACAGCGCAUUCAGAUUUGAUUUCAGGGACUGUAGCUCUCCCACACGUACCUUGGCUGCGCUUUCUCAGCCCCGAGCGGAAGGAGCCUGAACUUGUAGCCGAUGUAAGCGUGAUUUUGAGCCUGAGAAGGCUUUACAGCGGCACUACAAAAACACCCAUCCGGUUCCAACAUCGCCGUCAAGCUCUGAAGGAGCAAUACCGGUGGAAAUCAUUUUGGUUUGCUUUGAGUAUAGAAGUCUUGGGAAAGGUUAUAGCGGGAAGCAGGUCUUUUGAUAUGUAUAUAUGCUUGAUUCAUGGAUGAGCAGAGUGGGCUGAAACGAGACCAGGCUGGCAAAAGUCCAGAAGGGUUGUCUCCUAGUCUGGAUCAAAGAGACGUGUGUAGGGCUGGUUGGCUAGUUUAGGAUUUCCCGAAUUAUGAUGCAUUGAUACAUUGCUUACAAUAGCGGCGAAAACGAGACAAGAAUCCAGCAUGCGGGUCU
rnacentral:sRNA from 2 species